rnacentral:rRNA from 1 species
CAGCCGCGGUAAUACGGAGGGUGCAAGCGUUAAUCGGAAUUACUGGGCGUAAAGCGCACGCAGGCGGUCUGUCAAGUCAGAUGUGAAAUCCCCGGGCUUAACCUGGGAACUGCAUUUGAAACUGGCAGGCUAGAGUCUUGUAGAGGGGGGUAGAAUUCCAGGUGUAGCGGUGAAAUGCGUAGAGAUCUGGAGGAAUACCGGUGGCGAAGGCGGCCCCCUGGACAAAGACUGACGCUCAGGUGCGGAAGCGUGGGGAGCAAACAGGAUUAGAUACCCCAGUAGUCCCUGUCUCUUAUACACA